rnacentral:rRNA from 1 species
AGUGAACGCUGGCGGUAGGCCUAACACAUGCAAGUCGAACGGCAGCACAGUAAGAGCUUGCCCUUACGGGUGGCGAGUGGCGGACGGGUGAGGAAUACAUCGGAAUCUACUUUUUCGUGGGGGAUAACGUAGGGAAACUUACGCUAAUACCGCAUACGACCUACGGGUGAAAGCAGGGGAUCUUCGGACCUUGCGCGAUUGAAUGAGCCGAUGUCGGAUUAGCUAGUUGGCGGGGUAAAGGCCCACCAAAGCGACGAUCCGUAGCUGGUCUGAGAGGAUGAUCAGCCACACUGGAACUGAGACACGGUCCAGACUCCUACGGGAGGCAGCAGUGGGGAAUAUUGGACAAUGGGCGCAAGCCUGAUCCAGCCAUACCGCGUGGGUGAAGAAGGCCUUCGGGUUGUAAAGCCCUUUUGUUGGGAAAGAAAAGCAGCAGGUUAAUACCCCGCUGUUCUGACGGUACCCAAAGAAUAAGCACCGGCUAACUUCGUG